rnacentral:rRNA from 1 species
UACGGAGGGUCCAAGCGUUAAUCGGAAUUACUGGGCGGUAAAGCGUGCGCAGGCGGUUUGUUAAGCGAGAUGUGAAAGCCCCCGGGCUCAACCUGGGAAUUGCAUUUCGAACUGGCAAACUAGAGUCUUGUAGAGGGGGGUAGAAUUCCAGGUGUAGCGGUGAAAUGCGUAGAGAUCUGGAGGAAUACCGGUGGCGAAGGCGGCCCCCUGGACAAAGACUGACGCUGAGGUGCGAAAGUGUAGGGAGCAAACAGGAUUAGAUACCCGCGUAGU